rnacentral:rRNA from 1 species
UGGGGAAUAUUGCACAAUGGGCGCAAGCCUGAUGCAGCCAUGCCGCGUGUAUGAAGAAGGCCUUCGGGUUGUAAAGUACUUUCAGCGGGGAGGAAGGCGAUAAGGUUAAUAACCUUGUCGAUUGACGUUACCCGCAGAAGAAGCACCGGCUAACUCCGUGCCAGCAGCCGCGGUAAUACGGAGGGUGCAAGCGUUAAUCGGACUUACUGGGCGUAAAGCGCACGCAGGCGGGCUGUCAAGUCGGAUGUGAAAUCCCCGGGCUCAACCUGGGAACUGCAUUCGAAACUGGCAGGCUAGAGUCUUGUAGAGGGGGGUAGAAUUCCAGGUGUAGCGGUGAAAUGCGUAGAGAUCUGGAGGAAUACCGGUGGCGAAGGCGGCCCCCUGGACAAAGACUGACGCUCAGGUGCGAAAGCGUGGGGAGCAAACA